rnacentral:rRNA from 1 species
UCCGUAGGCGGGCUAAUAAGUCAGGGGUGAAAUCCUACAGCUUAACUGUGGAACUGCCUUUGAUACUGUUAGUCUUGAGUUAUAUGGAAGUAGAUAGAAUGUGUAGUGUAGCGGUGAAAUGCAUAGAGAUUACACAGAAUACCGAUUGCGAAGGCAGUCUACUACGUAUAUACUGACGCUAAUGGACGAAAGCGUGGGGAGCGAACAGGAUUAGAUACCCUGGUAGUCC